rnacentral:lncRNA from 1 species
CUUUUUCUCCCAUUAGCUAUUUUAUGAAAGUAACCAGUGUUCAUAUCUCCCUCUAACAACCAAGUUUCCCCCCCUUUCCUUUGCCAUUGAAUUUCUUCAUCAGCCAGAACUUUUAAAAGAUCUUUUUCCAGGACAUAUCUUUCUUCCCAUUCUGAUUGCAUAAGAUCUCUGGUUUCACUUGACUCAUCCAACUCUGUGAUCCUUCUCAUAAUAUUAUGUUUGUAUUUCUUCUGGUAACUGUCUACAUUCUGGCCCCAACCUUUAAUGGCUCUCCUUAAUCUACCAGAAACUAUGUGCCAAUGAUCUAAAGGGUUCACCUUAUAUCUGGAAGGCCAUUUACUUUUCACCCAGUCACA